AGCAGUAGCCACGGGAAUACAGAGGGUGCGAGCGUUAAUCGGAUUUACUGGGCGUAAAGCGUGCGUAGGCGGCUAAUUGAGUCGGAUGUGAAAUCCCCGAGCUUAACUUGGGAAUUGCAUUCGAUACUGGUUAGCUAGAGUGUGGGAGAGGAUGGUAGAAUUCCAGGUGUAGCGGUGAAAUGCGUAGAGAUCUGGAGGAAUACCGAUGGCGAAGGCAGCCAUCUGGCCUAACACUGACGCUGAGGUACGAAAGCAUGGGGAGCAAACAGGAUUAGAUACCCCCGUAGUCCUGUCUCUUAUACA
rnacentral:rRNA from 1 species